GGACUCAAGCCCUACAAUGUGAACACCUGAUUUUCAGCUGUGCCUGAUUUCCAUCUUCCAGAAGCCCUUGGAGACAAAAAGGCAAGACAACAGAGAUCACUUUUCUGUACUGAUGUGUAUUCAUUUUCCUCUCUGCAAGAAUCUGGCUUCAGCCCAUCAUAGCUGGCAGUGAUACACAAGAUGAGUUGACAGGAAGGGCAGAAGGCACAACAGAUGAAAGAGGUUAAAAGAAAGAGGAGAAAUUCCACAAAUUUUGGUUCCAAGAAACAAAGAUUUUAUUGGGUCUAAUCGGUGUUCCUUUUGUUGUCAGUUGGAUUUUGCCAAGGAUUUUGGUGGACUGAAAAUAUCUUGUGCUGUAUUUUUUGU
rnacentral:lncRNA from 1 species